rnacentral:rRNA from 1 species
UACGUAGGGUGCAAGCGUUUGUCCGGAAUUAUUGGGCGUAAAGAGCUCGUAGGUGGCCUGUCGCGUCGGGAGUGAAAUCCACUGGCUUAACUGGUGGCUUGCUUUCGAUACGGGCAGACUGGAGGUAUGCAGGGGAGAACGGAAUUCCUGGUGUAGCGGUGAAAUGCGCAGAUAUCAGGAGGAACACCGGUGGCGAAGGCGGUUCUCUGGGCAUGUCCUGACGCUGAGGAGCGAAAGCAUGGGGAGCGAAUAGG